CCAUGGUCGGUCAAAAGGCAGAGGGAGCAGGAAGAAGACGUUAAGAGCCUUUAUUGUGAUUUCUGAGGGAAGAAACGGGCGAGGCAAGAUCACACACUCUGCACUGAGUUCCAACUCACAUCAAAACUGCGGGCUGGAGCCCUCCUGCUCAGGGAAGCCUCGGAAAGGGUCUGCUCGGCCAAUGGAAGAUGGAGCUCGGAGAUGCUUUUUGCUCUUGCAGUGAGACGUAUGUCUUCAAAGUAUCUCUUUAGAAAAACAAAACAUAAAGCACCCCCACCCUGAUCACACAAUGCAUUCUUGUUCCCUUUGAAAUUUUAGGAAAUUUCUUUAAAGCACCAAGAAGAAAAAUAAAUUAUAUCUAUAUCUCCACCCAUGAAAAUGGGGUCCCUUCUCAA